rnacentral:rRNA from 1 species
AGUGAACGCUGGCGGUAGGCCUAACACAUGCAAGUCGAACGGCAGCACAGGAGAGCUUGCUCUCUGGGUGGCGAGUGGCGGACGGGUGAGGAAUACAUCGGAAUCUACUCUGUCGUGGGGGAUAACGUAGGGAAACUUACGCUAAUACCGCAUACGACCUACGGGUGAAAGCAGGGGACCUUCGGGCCUUGCGCGAUUGAAUGAGCCGAUGUCGGAUUAGCUAGUUGGCGGGGUAAAGGCCCACCAAGGCGACGAUCCGGAGCUGGUCUGAGGGGAUGAUCAGCCACACUGGAAAUGAGACACGGUCCAGACUCCUACGGGAGGCAGCAGUGGGGAAUAUUGGACAAUGGGCGCAAGCCUGAUCCAGCCAUACCGCGUGGGUGAAGAAGGCCUUCGGGUUGUAAAGCCCUUUUGUUGGGAAAGAAAUCCAGCUGGCUAAUACCCGGUUGGGAUGACGGUACCCAAAGAAUAAGCACCGGCUAACUUCGUGCCAGCAGCCGCAGUAA